UUUUUUAAACACUUUUAUGUUUAUCCGUAACUGGACAUGUCACACACCUGUCAAAUUACGAUCGUAAGAUUUUGACAAAUGACAGCAAGGCACAGAAAACAAAUUAAUUGAAAGGCAUUCACUACAUUGCUUUUUUCGUCGUCUGCGUGUUAUCACGUAUCAAAAAAACCGCCGUGGGGGGGCUACGAGUUCGCGCUCAAAUGAAAUCUACAUUUUGGUUUGAAACUUUGCUAAAUUUUGUCAAUCACCAUAUUUUUUGGGUUUUAUUAAACAAACUCACGUAAAUAAUCAUAAAAUACUACUUUAUUUAGUCAUAGUCGCUAUAUAGUAUAAUAAAAAUAAAUAUAUCA